AAUUGUCAGCAGGAGUUGAAAGCUUGAGCAUUAUUCUACCAGCGGAUAACAUCCGGGUCCACCGAUCCUUUUUUCACAGUUUUUUGUGGAAUCUAUUUUGACCAAGGCACAAGACGAGUUUUGCACUACUGUGCAGGAACUUAGCGCAGCAUCGUCCCCAGGUGUGAUAUCAACCCAGGCCCACACACCUGGGUGGUUUUUCUUUAAAAUCACAUUCGCAUUUCUGCAAAUAAAUAUUGGCCAUUGACGAACACCGUAGUGUCUGUGGUCUGUGGGCAUCGGACCCAGUCCUGCUACAUUACGACCGGCAUAAGUUGCUGGGUACCAAUCCUAAGCAGCAAUCAACAUGGGACUCCACCACAGAAUGUCAGUUGAAAGUGAACGGCCGGAUGACGAAUGGACGACGGACGGACAGACGAUAGAAAUCGCUUCUUGUAAUAUGCUUACUUUGGCUUUUCGUACUUUUAAUUGUAGUGUAUAAAUAAAACACACAUAUUUCAAGACGAUUUAUGAAUUACGGAUUUUUUUUUUUUUUAAAUAUAUUUUACAGGUAUUGGG